GACGAACGCUGGCGGCGUGCCUAAUACAUGCAAGUAGAACGCUGAAGGAGGAGCUUGCUUCUCUGGAUGAGUUGCGAACGGGUGAGUAACGCGUAGGUAACCUGCCUGGUAGCGGGGGAUAACUAUUGGAAACGAUAGCUAAUACCGCAUAAUAGUAGAUGUUGCAUGACAUUUGCCUAAAAGGUGCAAUUGCAUCACUACCAGAUGGACCUGCGUUGUAUUAGCUAGUUGGUGGGGUAACGGCUCACCAAGGCGACGAUACAUAGCCGACCUGAGAGGGUGAUCGGCCACACUGGGACUGAGACACGGCCCAGACUCCUACGGGAGGCAGCAGUAGGGAAUCUUCGGCAAUGGACGGAAGUCUGACCGAGCAACGCCGCGUGAGUGAAGAAGGUUGUCGGAUCGUAAAGCUCGGUUGUAAGAGAAGAACGAGUGUGAGAGUGGAAAGUUCACACUGUGACGGUAUCUUACCAGAAAGGGACGGCUAACUACGUG
rnacentral:rRNA from 1 species